GACGUGCUAAUCUGCGAUAAGCGUCGGUGAGGUGAUAUGAACCGUUAUAACCGGCGAUUUCCGAAUGGGGAAACCCAGUGUGUUUCGACACACUAUCAUUAACUGAAUCCAUAGGUUAAUGAGGCGAACCGGGGGAACUGAAACAUCUAAGUACCCCGAGGAAAAGAAAUCAACCGAGAUUCCCCCAGUAGCGGCGAGCGAACGGGGAGGAGCCCAGAGCCUGAAUCAGUGUGUGUGUUAGUGGAAGCGUCUGGAAAGGCGCGCGAUACAGGGUGACAGCCCCGUACACAAAAAUGCACAUAUUGUGAGCUCGAUGAGUAGGGCGGGACACGUGGUAUCCUGUCUGAAUAUGGGGGGACCAUCCUCCAAGGCUAAAUACUCCUGACUGACCGAUAGUGAACCAGUACCGUGAGGGAAAGGCGAAAAGAACCCCGGCGAGGGGAGUGAAAAAGAACCUGAAACCGUGUACGUACAAGCAGUGGGAGCCUCUUAAUGGGGUGACUGCGUACCUUUUGUAUAAUGGGUCAGCGACUUAUAUUCUGUAGCAAGGUUAACCGAAUAGGGGAGCCGAAGGGAAACCGAGUCUUAACUGGGCGUUAAGUUGCAGGGUAUAGACCCGAAACCCGGUGAUCUAGCCAUGGGCAGGUUGAAGGUUGGGUAACACUAACUGGAGGACCGAACCGACUAAUGUUGAAAAAUUAGCGGAUGACUUGUGGCUGGGGGUGAAAGGCCAAUCAAACCGGGAGAUAGCUGGUUCUCCCCGAAAGCUAUUUAGGUAGCGCCUCGUGAAUUCAUCUCCGGGGGUAGAGCACUGUUUCGGCAAGGGGGUCAUCCCGACUUACCAACCCGAUGCAAACUGCGAAUACCGGAGAAUGUUAUCACGGGAGACACACGGCGGGUGCUAACGUCCGUCGUGAAGAGGGAAACAACCCAGACCGCCAGCUAAGGUCCCAAAGUCAUGGUUAAGUGGGAAACGAUGUGGGAAGGCCCAGACAGCCAGGAUGUUGGCUUAGAAGCAGCCAUCAUUUAAAGAAAGCGUAAUAGCUCACUGGUCGAGUCGGCCUGCGCGGAAGAUGUAACGGGGCUAAACCAUGCACCGAAGCUGCGGCAGCGACACUAUGUGUUGUUGGGUAGGGGAGCGUUCUGUAAGCCUGUGAAGGUGGCCUGUGAGGGUUGCUGGAGGUAUCAGAAGUGCGAAUGCUGACAUAAGUAACGAUAAAGCGGGUGAAAAGCCCGCUCGCCGGAAGACCAAGGGUUCCUGUCCAACGUUAAUCGGGGCAGGGUGAGUCGACCCCUAAGGCGAGGCCGAAAGGCGUAGUCGAUGGGAAACAGGUUAAUAUUCCUGUACUUGGUGUUACUGCGAAGGGGGGACGGAGAAGGCUAUGUUGGCCGGGCGACGGUUGUCCCGGUUUAAGCGUGUAGGCUGGUUUUCCAGGCAAAUCCGGAAAAUCAAGGCUGAGGCGUGAUGACGAGGCACUACGGUGCUGAAGCGACAAAUGCCCUGCUUCCAGGAAAAGCCUCUAAGCAUCAGGUAACAUCAAAUCGUACCCCAAACCGACACAGGUGGUCAGGUAGAGAAUACCAAGGCGCUUGAGAGAACUCGGGUGAAGGAACUAGGCAAAAUGGUGCCGUAACUUCGGGAGAAGGCACGCUGAUAUGUAGGUGAAGCGACUUGCUCGUGGAGCUGAAAUCAGUCGAAGAUACCAGCUGGCUGCAACUGUUUAUUAAAAACACAGCACUGUGCAAACACGAAAGUGGACGUAUACGGUGUGACGCCUGCCCGGUGCCGGAAGGUUAAUUGAUGGGGUUAGCGGUAACGCGAAGCUCUUGAUCGAAGCCCCGGUAAACGGCGGCCGUAACUAUAACGGUCCUAAGGUAGCGAAAUUCCUUGUCGGGUAAGUUCCGACCUGCACGAAUGGCGUAAUGAUGGCCAGGCUGUCUCCACCCGAGACUCAGUGAAAUUGAACUCGCUGUGAAGAUGCAGUGUACCCGCGGCAAGACGGAAAGACCCCGUGAACCUUUACUAUAGCUUGACACUGAACAUUGAGCCUUGAUGUGUAGGAUAGGUGGGAGGCUUUGAAGUGUGGACGCCAGUCUGCAUGGAGCCGACCUUGAAAUACCACCCUUUAAUGUUUGAUGUUCUAACGUGGGCCCCUUACCGGGGUUGCGGACAGUGUCUGGUGGGUAGUUUGACUGGGGCGGUCUCCUCCUAAAGAGUAACGGAGGAGCACGAAGGUUGGCUAAUCCUGGUCGGACAUCAGGAGGUUAGUGCAAUGGCAUAAGCCAGCUUGACUGCGAGCGUGACGGCGCGAGCAGGUGCGAAAGCAGGUCAUAGUGAUCCGGUGGUUCUGAAUGGAAGGGCCAUCGCUCAACGGAUAAAAGGUACUCCGGGGAUAACAGGCUGAUACCGCCCAAGAGUUCAUAUCGACGGCGGUGUUUGGCACCUCGAUGUCGGCUCAUCACAUCCUGGGGCUGAAGUAGGUCCCAAGGGUAUGGCUGUUCGCCAUUUAAAGUGGUACGCGAGCUGGGUUUAGAACGUCGUGAGACAGUUCGGUCCCUAUCUGCCGUGGGCGCUGGAGAACUGAGGGGGGCUGCUCCUAGUACGAGAGGACCGGAGUGGACGCAUCACUGGUGUUCGGGUUGUCAUGCCAAUGGCACUGCCCGGUAGCUAAAUGCGGAAGAGAUAAGUGCUGAAAGCAUCUAAGCACGAAACUUGCCCCGAGAUGAGUUCUCCCUGACUCCUUGAGAGUCCUGAAGGAACGUUGAAGACGACGACGUUGAUAGGCCGGGUGUGUAAGCGCAGCGAUGCGUU
rnacentral:rRNA from 1 species